UUCAGAUGACAGACAAGGCAGUUAUUCAUCAUUGCACGAUGUCUGUAUGUGAUUCGAUUGGAAUUUCAUAGUUAUCGGUGUAAAUUAACGACAUAAGUAAUUUCAUUAGUACUCUGUGUGUGUGUGUGUGUGUGUGUGCGUACUUAUUAACUAAAGUGUGCGGUCUUCCCAAACAGUGUCUAACAAUCGGAUAUAAGCAGAACUGUAACUGUCAUCACUAAAGUCCGUUUUAUCGUUUCUAAAUACGUAUUAAGAGAUUUCAAAAUGGCGGAUCAAUAUGGUAACCAAACGUAUAACCAUCAACAAAAUGCAUAUGGCAAUCCAGGUUAUGCACAACAUCAUACAUCACAUACAACUGUGGUUGUUCAACAGCCAGGGGUUCAAAUAAGAAACAAAAGAGAAUGGAGAAAUGGAUUGGGUGGCUGCUUUAAUGAUCUUCCUAUAUGCUUACUGUCGACAUUCUGUUUUGAAUGUUACGGUUGCUACAUGGUGACCAAAGCUGAUGAACAUUGUUGUCUUGGGUGGUGCUGCCCUGGUUACUUGUUACCAAUUCGAUCUUACGUCAGAGGACGUCUUGGAAUACAGGGUUCCGUUAUGAAAGAUUUCUGUGCUGUGUCCUGCUGUGGACCAUGUGUUAUGUGUCAGGUAGCUCAAGAAUUGAAGGAAAGCAGGGAAUGUGGCGAAUGGCAAGCCGCCUAAAAAUAGUGUCAUUGGACUUUAUCUAGAUGCAGCUCAAAGGGCUGCGAUAUUUUUUUUUAUCUUUGAAGCUUUAUAGCCUGUGUAACCUUAAACGCACUUUAGGCCAGAAUUUUAAAAAUUUUAUUGCAUACUGUUGAAAAUGGGUGUAAUCAAAAAACUAUAAGCAGUGUUAAUUAAGUGUAAACUUUACACCACAGCUAGCGUUUUUUAAAUGUAAUACCUUUUUAAGUGUAACCAACUAAAAGAACUACACAUAACAAGUGUAACCGAUAUUCAUGACUACUGAACACUUGAAUAGGUGUAAUUGUGGGGUGUUUUGAAAAAGCUACACCACUACGCUAAAGGGUGUUUGGGAUGAGCUACACCUGCACAAGCGUUUUAUUGCAUGUACACCAACAGGUGUAAUUAUUAUUAGGGAAACACCGUAUCUUGCGUUACAAAAGUGUUUGUACUCCAAUUUGAAUGUCUAUGUAUCAUGUAUAAUAAUCUUAAUAAUAUCUCAUAACGCCUCAAGUUUAGAUUAUUUUAGCUUGUAUACACUUAGAGAUGUGUAAAUGUUCCAAAAUAUUACCAAGUACUAUA